AUCGCUUCUUGGCCUUUUGGCUAAGAUCAAGUGUAGUAUCUGUUCUUAUCAGUUUAAUAUUUAUCCAGAUGAGUUUUAGGGGAAUGGUUUAGGAGGGGACUGUUAUUCUGUGUCAAACCUGAAAGACCAGAUGAUUAGGAUGAAGCAAAAGUGUCAAAAGUAGGAUUUGGAAAGAUAAUGCUUGCAGCAGAGCUCAGAAAUGUGUUUGACUACACAUUUGAACUUCUCAAA
rnacentral:snRNA from 1 species